CCUACGGGCGGCAGCAGUGAGGAAUAUUGGUCAAUGGACGAGAGUCUGAACCAGCCAAGUAGCGUGAAGGAUGACUGCCCUAUGGGUUGUAAACUUCUUUUAUAUGGGAAUAACAUGUUCCACGUGUGGGAUUUUGUAUGUACCAUAUGAAUAAGGAUCGGCUAACUCCGUGCCAGCAGCCGCGGUAAUACGGAGGAUCCGAGCGUUAUCCGGAUUUAUUGGGUUUAAAGGGAGCGUAGGUGGAUUGUUAAGUCAGUUGUGAAAGUUUGCGGCUCAACCGUAAAAUUGCAGUUGAAACUGGCAGUCGUGAGUACAGUAGAGGUGGGCGGAAUUCGUGGUGUAGCGGUGAAAUGCUUAGAUAUCACGAAGAACUCCGAUUGCGAAGGCAGCUCACUGGACUGCAACUGACACUGAGGCUCGAAAGUGUGGGUAUCAAACAGGAGUAGAUACCCCUGUAGUC
rnacentral:rRNA from 1 species